rnacentral:tRNA from 1 species
GCCGGCAUAGCACAGUUGGCAGUGCAGCCGCCUUGUAAGCGGCAGGUCGUCAGUUCAAGUCUGACUGCCGGCUCCA